AGUGAGAUAGCUGAGUCAAAUGGUGGCUCCAUUUUCAAUUUUCUGAGGAAUCUCCAUACUGCUUUCCAUAGUGGUUGCACCAAUUUGCAGUCCCACCAGCAAC
rnacentral:pre_miRNA from 1 species